AAUGCAAGUUGCGCUCGAGGCCAUUAGGUUGAGAGCACGUCUGUUUGGGCGUCAUGCCUUGCGUCAUUCUAACCAUCCACCUACUGUAAACAUACUGUGAGUGAUGGCGGAUGUGGAGAUUGACCCUCCGUGCCUUAAUUGUGCGGUUGGUUUAAGUGAAUGUUGUCGUUAGGUCUACGCGCGGCGAAUGGUGUAUCGAGUUAACACUCGAUGUCUCUAACUGCGUCCAGGAGUUCUACGAGCGAUGUAACAAGAACUGAAGCCGUUUUCGACUUGUGCAUUAGUUGCAAGCUCGGAACAUGACCUCAGAUCAGGUGGGGCAAGCCGAUGAGUUUAA
rnacentral:misc_RNA from 1 species